rnacentral:rRNA from 1 species
ACGAACGCUGGCGGCGUGCUUAACACAUGCAAGUCGAACGGAAAGGCCCCUUUGGGGGUACUCGAGUGGCGAAUGGGUGAGUAACACGUGAGUAACCUGCCCUUGACUUCGGGAUAACUUCAGGAAACUGGGGCUAAUACCGGAUAGGAAUCCUUGCUGCAUGGUGGGGGUUGGAAAGCUUCGGCGGUUUUGGAUGGACUCGCGGCUUAUCAGCUUGUUGGUGGGGUAGUGGCUUACCAAGGCUUUGACGGGUAGCCGGCCUGAGAGGGCGACCGGCCACAUUGGGACUGAGAUACGGCCCAGACUCCUACGGGAGGCAGCAGUGGGGAAUAUUGCACAAUGGGCGGAAGCCUGAUGCAGCAACGCCGCGUGCGGGAUGACGGCCUUCGGGUUGUAAACCGCUUUCAGCAGGGGCGAAGCUUGUGGUGACGGUACCUGCAGAAGAAGCACCGGCUAACUACGUG